rnacentral:rRNA from 1 species
UACGUAGGGGGCAAGCGUUGUCCGGAUUUAUUGGGCGUAAAGAGCGUGUAGGCGGCUUUACAGGUCCGCUGUGAAAACUCGGGGCUCAACUCCGAGCUUGCAGUCGAUACGGGCAGGCUAGAGUUCGGCAGGGGAGACUGGAAUUCCUGGUGUAGCGGUGAAAUGCGCAGAUAUCAGGAGGAACACCAGUGGCGAAGGCGGUUCUCUGGGCAUUACCUGACGCUGAGGAGCGAAAGUGUGGGGAGCGAACAGG